UACGGGGGGGGCAAGCGUUGUUCGGAAUUACUGGGCGUAAAGGGCUCGUAGGCGGCCAACUAAGUCAGACGUGAAAUCCCUCGGCUUAACCGGGGAACUGCGUCUGAUACUGGAUGGCUUGAGUUUGGGAGAGGGAUGCGGAAUUCCAGGUGUAGCGGUGAAACGCGUAGAUAUCUGGAGGAACACCGGUGGCGAAGGCGGCAUCCUGGACCAACACUGACGCUGAGUGAGCGAAAGCCAGGGGAGCAAACGGG
rnacentral:rRNA from 1 species